ACUGCAAACCUCAAGAUCUUCGCUUUCCCAUUUUCAGUGCCGCUUCCUAUAUGGAAAGCCUGUGUUUCCUCUACUACAGAGCGUCUGGGCCGGAAGGUUCCCGCGAGAUCUUAGUCUCACAAAGAAAGAAAUUAAGUACCUGAGGGAGGGAGUAACUUUGUUCAGAGAUGCUUACAGUUGGUAUAAGAUCCAGAUCUUGGUCCUGAAACCCCUACCGCCAGUCUGGGGUCCUUUUAACAUCUGCGCUAAACUCGAAGCCACAAGAGAGACCCCUGCAGGGGUGCGGGAUGGUUAUCCACAUAGCCUACGGAGGCCUUCCCAUCGCCUGCAGGGAGCUGAGCUGAGUCUCAGCAAGUGUGUUGUAUGCCACCAUGGCAGCCACCUUCCCUCUGCCCACUGCUCUGCAGCUCAGGUCACUGACGGAGAAUCCCAGUCCAUCUUCUCCCCGUGAGGACAGAACAGAGCGGGAAUUUGGAGCAAGUCACUGGCACACAUCUGGCUGGGAGUCAAAUGCUUGCAGAAUUGAUAUGGUUCUCUAUGGGACCAUGAGAAGACAAUUGGCGUGGCUUCAGGAGGUCCAGAGGGCUGGACAUCUUCAGGGAGAAGUGACCAGGACAGCAGCAGUGGCCUGAGUUUCCUCCAUCAUGCUGGAGUCACAGGCCAGUGUUAGGUACUGAACCGGGCUCAGUGAAGGAACAUCCUCCAAGCCCAGAAUUUGCAUCAAAUUCACCUUUCCAGCUCCCAGAUAAACAGCAAAAGUCCAAGUCCCACCAUCUCACUGGGGACCUUAGGCAAUCACCAUUUUUCUACAGGCCUUGGGUGCCUGCAGAUCGACCAUCCUCCCAAGACGGCCAAUAAAGGGGGAUGAAA